rnacentral:rRNA from 1 species
AGAGUUUGAUCCUGGCUCAGGACGAACGCUGGCGGCGUGCCUAAUACAUGCAAGUCGAACGCACUGACGGAGAACUUGUUCUCUUGACGUGAGUGGCGCACGGGUGAGUAACACGUGGGAAACCUACCCUUCAGCGGGGGAUAACCAUCGGAAACGAUGACUAAUACCGCAUAGACGACAGAACCGCCUGGUUCAAUCGGGAAAGACGGCUUCGGCUGUCACUGAAGGAUGGUCCCGCGCUGCAUUAGCUAGUUGGUAAGGUAACGGCUUACCAAGGCGAUGAUGCAUAGCCGACCUGAGAGGGUGAUCGGCCACAUUGGGACUGAGACACGGCCCAAACUCCUACGGGAGGCAGCAGUAGGGAAUCUUCCGCAAUGGACGCAAGUCUGACGGAGCAACGCCGCGUGUGUGAAGAAGGUUUUCGGAUCGUAAAGCACUGUUAUUAGAGAAGAACAGCCGAUAGAGUAACUGUUAUCGGUUUGACGGUAUCUAACCAGAAAGUGACGGCUAACUACGUGCCAGCAGCCGCGGUAAUACGUAGGUCACAAGCGUUGUCCGGAUUUAUUGGGCGUAAAGGGAGCGCAGGCGGUUUGUUAAGUCUGAUGUGAAAGCCCACGGCUCAACCGUGGAACGGCAUUGGAAACUGGCAAACUUGAGUAUAGAAGAGGAAAGUGGAAUUCCAUGUGUAGCGGUGAAAUGCGUAGAUAUAUGGAGGAACACCAGUGGCGAAGGCGACUUUCUGGUCUAUAACUGACGCUGAGGCUCGAAAGCGUGGGGAGCGAACAGGAUUAGAUACCCUGGUAGUCCACGCCGUAACGAUGAGUGUUAAGUGUUGGGGGGCUUCCACCCCUCAGUGCUGGCGUUAACGCAAUAAACACUCCGCCUGGG